rnacentral:lncRNA from 1 species
GUAUGGGAUGUGCCCUUUGUGCAGUGUUCUGCAUCAGAUCAACUUAACGAGAAGAAAGUUAUGCAGAGAUUUGAAACAGAAGUGUUAAGAUUGAUGUGAAUGCAGCGUGGAUGGAAAUGUGUGUGCAAGCGUAAAGAAAAACCAAAACAAAGGGUUAAACAAAUGGCAUAGACUGAUAAUGAAGGGCAUGGUUUCCAGGACACCAUUCUCAGCAGUAUCCGUGUGCCACAGCACAGAUCAUUUGCCAGCAGAAGACCUUGCAUCCCUAACAUCAGGAGGAUGGCAACAAGGCUGGAGUGUAACUCAUGUGCUGUUCUAUUUCUGGAUAGGAAGAGGGAAUGCAGAAGUGCAUUUCAGACCUAUAUUCCAAACAAGGAAAACAGGCAGUGGGCAGCAACCUGGCCUAAGAUGUGUGGUUAUCCUGGCCACACCGUUUGACUGCACAUCAUGAUAAGAGAGCGUGAGACUGUGAGUGAACUCAGCUUGGA